GGGGAGCAAAAUGGAAUCACAGACACAGGUCCUCAUGUUCCUGCUACUCUGGGUGUCUGGUGCCUGUGCAGACAUUGUGAUGACCCAGUCUCCAUCCUCCCUGCCUGUGUCAGCAGGAGAGAAGGUCACCAUCAGCUGCAAGUCCAGUCAGAGUCUUUUAUACAGUAAAAACCAGAAGAAGUACUUGAACUGGUACCAGCAGAAACCAGGGCAGGCUCCUAAACUGCUGAUCUACUGGGCAUCUACUCGGGACACUGGUGUCCCUGAUUGCUUCACAGGCAGUGGGUCUGGAACAGAUUUCACUCUCACCAUCAGCAGUGUCCAGGCUGAAGACCUGGCAGAUUAUUACUGUCUGCAGAAUUAUGAUGCCCCUCCCACAGUGUGUUAG